ACUGUUUGUCAGGCACCAUUCAAAGCACCAUACACAGCCUCCAUGGUCCCUUAAGACCUGUAGAUCCUUGAGGGGAGGAACACUGUAGUGCUCUUGGGUUCCCUGGGGCACCAAGUGUUGCUGUGCACAUAGGAGACAUUUGGUACUCAAUUGAUUAUUAUAUCAUCCAAGUUCUUCAGUGGUAAUGAGAUGCUAGUAGCAUUCUUGUGCUCAUUACACAGAUGGUAAAAUAAAAAUUAAGAAUAAUACAAAAAAUGGGGCCUCUGGCUGGCUCAGUCAAUAGAGCGUGUGACUCUUGAUCUUGGAAUUAUAAAUUUGAGCCCCAUGUUGGCUGUAGAGAUUAUUUAAAAAUAAAAUCUUAAAAAAAAAAAAGAAUAACACAAGAAAACAAGCUAAAUUAUUUGCCAGAGGCCACUUUUUACAGUUGUCAUCAAAGCUGGAUUUAUACUUGGGGCUUCUUAACCUCUAGUCCUUGGCUUAGAUUUCAAAGCGAUACCUCUUCUUCCAAAUAUGUGAGGUAACUGUAAUUGCUACAUAGCCAGUCGUUAUAGGGAUGCUAAAAUGUUAUAGCUACAACUAUGCCACCUGUAAUAAGAACCUUGAUGGAAACUCUAGACACUAUUUUAAAUAUGCCACAAGUUUUGUUUCCCCUACCUUUACAUAAAUGAAUUUUUUUAAGAAACAAGGAGAUAUUUUAUUGCAUUUGAUAAUACUACCAUAAGCCUUAGAAAAGCUCAACUCCUGUAGGCACACAUCCAAGGAACAGUGGUAAAGAAGAAUUCAAAGUAAAACCAGAUGUUAACAUGGUGUCCAUCCCUUUGUUGCAAAUCUGCACAGUUGGGUUAGAGGGUGUCCAUGCUCACGCCCAUUCUUUGUCAUGAACUUCCACUUGUUAGAUGGUUCAUGCUCGUAUGGACACCAAUGACUCAGUGGACACACACAUAUUGCAUAAGGAGGAUAAACUGGAAGGAAAAUAUCCUAUGAUUGAUAGUGGCUAUUUUUACAUGGUAGGAUAUCAGUGUUUUCAAAUCUUCUACAUUUGAUUUUAAGUCAAAGGAAUAGUGAAUAAAUACAAUAGGAUACUUUGCCUGGGAUAGAAUAGGUACCCCUAAUAAAGUCUGCUUUAUUUUAUUUAUUUACUUUUUUACUAAAGUUUGCUUUAAAUCAUAUUCAAAGCCUUUUUUCACAAGUGUUUUCUCUCUAUUAUUUCUAUUAUUUUUUAUUGAAGGAUAAUCUUUUUAAAGAUUUUAUUUAUUUAUUCAUGAGAUACAGAGAGAGAGAGCGAGAGAGAGAGAGAGAGGCAGAGACACAGGCAGAGGGAGAAGCAGGUUCCAUGCUGGGAGCCCGAUGUGGGACUCCCAGGGACCCUGGGAUCACACCCUGAGCCAAAGGCAGAGGCUCACCCACUGAGCCACCCAGGCAUCCCUAUUGAAGGAUAAUUAAUGUACAGUGUUAUAUUAGUUUUGGGUGUACAAUAUGAUUAUACAAUUCUAUAUAUCACUCAGUGCUCAUCAAGAUAAGUAAGUGUACUUUUAAUCCCCUUGUUCUAUUUUACUCAUCCCCUCCCCUCACCUCCCCUCUGGUAACCACCAGUUUGUUCCUGCAUUUAAGAUCUUUUUUUUGUUUUGUUUUGUUUCUUUUUUCCCUUUGUUCAUUUGUUUUGUCUCAUAAAUUUCACAUAUGAGUGAAAUCAUAUAGUAUUUGUCUUUCUCUGACUGAUUUAUUUCACUUAGCAUUAUAACCUAUAGGUCUAUCUAUGUUGUUGCAAAUGGGAGAUUUCAUUAUUUUUUAUACCUGAGUAAUAUUUUAUGAUAUAUAUACUGCAUCUAUAUAUACAUACCACGUAUUCUUUAUCCAUUUAUCUGUCGAUGAAUGCUUGGGUUGCUUCCAUAUCUUGGGUAUUAUAAAUAAUGCUGCAGUAUACAUAGGGCUGCAUAUAUCUUUUUGAAUUUGUGUUUUCAUUUACUUUGGGUAAAUAUCUCCUAGGGGGAUUACUGGAUCAUAUGGCAGUUCUAUUUUUAAUUUUUUGAGGAAACUUCCACUGUUUUUCACAGUGGCUGCACCAGCUUGUGUUCCCACCAGUAGUGGAUCAAGGUUCCUUUUUCUCCACAUCCUCACCAACCCUUAUUAUUUUUCAUGUUUUGAUUUUAGCCAUUGUGUAAAGAAAUAUGUCACUGUGGUUUUAAUUUCAUGUUCUUGAUGGUGAGUGAUGUUGAGCAUCUUUUCAUGUGUCUGUUGACCAUCUGUAUGUCUUCUUUAGAAAAAUGUCUAUUCAGGUCCUCUGCCCAUUUUAAUAUAUAUAUAUAUAUAUAUAUAUAUAUAUAUAUAUAUAAAAUAUUUAAAAAUUUUUUUAGAUUGUAUUUAUUAUGUGUCUGGUGAAAAUGGUCCAGUUUCAUUUAUUUGCAUAUAGCUGUCUAGUUUUCCCAGCAUAUGAAGAUACUGUCUUUUUCCCAUUGUAAGUAUUCAUGUAUCUUUUGUCUUAGAUUAAUUGACCAUAUAAGUGUGGCUUUAUUUCUGGACCCUCUACUCUGUUCCAUUGAUGGAUCUAUUUUUGUGCCAGUAUCACUGUUUUGAUUACAUAAAGGAAAUGAUUUUUUUUUUUUUUUUUUUUUUUUUUUUUUUUAAAGGAAAUGAUUUUUAAGCAGCAUUUUACUUUAGAUCCAGCAGGGGGAGCCAGAUCCUUGUUGAUUAAAAACACCCCCCCCCCCCAAAAAAAAAA
rnacentral:lncRNA from 1 species